AAAAAUCAUACAUUUCUGACAUUUUACAAAUUUUUGGUUUGAAGUAGGAAAUGUACAUGAGCCCUGAAAUGCUCAUAUCGCCCACUAGAUGGCGACAAAAGCUGCUUAAAUGUGCGGCAAGGUCUCAACUGUUUCUUCAUUUGAGAAGUUAACAUUUUUUG